rnacentral:rRNA from 1 species
GACGAACGCUGGCGGCGUGCCUAAUACAUGCAAGUCGAACGGUCUUUUCUAUGGAAGCUUGCUUCCACUGAGAAGAUAGCGGCGAACGGGUGAGUAACACGUCGGUAACCUGCCCAUAAGAGGGGGAUAACAUCCGGAAACGGGUGCUAAUACAGCACAGGUUUCUUGAUCGCAUGAUCGAGAAAGGAAAGAAGGCCUUAGUGCUGUCGCUUCUGGUUGGACCCGAGGCGUAGUAGUUAGUUGGUGAGGUAACGGCUCACCAAGACGAUGAUACGUAGCUGACCUGAGAGGGUGAUCGGCCACAUUGGGACUGAGACACGGCCCAAACUCCUACGGGAGGCAGCAGUAGGGAAUCUUCCGCAAUGGACGAAAGUCUGACGGAGCAACGCCGCGUGAGUGAAGAAGGUUUUCGGAUCGUAAAACUCUGUUGUCAGAGAAGAACAAGUCGGAGAGUAACUGCUCCGGCCUUGACGGUAUCUGACCAGAAAGCCACGGCUAACUACGUGCCAGCCGCCGCAGUAACAC